UACAGAGGGUGCGAGCGUUGUCCGGAAUCACUGGGCGUAAAGGGCGCGUAGGCGGCUUGAUAAGCGUGCGGUGAAAGCCCGGGGCUCAACCCCCGGGGUCGGCCGUGCGAACUGUCGAGCUGGAGCACUGUAGAGGCAGGUGGAAUUCCGGGUGUAGCGGUGGAAUGCGUAGAGAUCCGGAAGAACACCGGUGGCGAAGGCGGCCUGCUGGGCGCAGUGGCUGACGCUGAGGCGCGACAGCGUGGG
rnacentral:rRNA from 1 species